rnacentral:snoRNA from 1 species
AGCCUCCUGGUACUUACCACAGGCUGUGUUCUUACCUUGAUUGUACAGAAAGAGGAGGCAAAGUAAACCUACUCCAUAUAUACCUCAGCCCAGGCCCUGUGCCUGGGGAGACAUGGGGUGGGAGAAAAAAAU